GCGCUCCUCUCUCCCCCCCCACCCCUCCGCCCGGCUCAGAGAGUACCCCCCGCCCCCUGCCACUCAAGGCCCGCUACCCCUGGCGCCGCGCGCGCGCCCGACAAAACGCUCCGCGAGCCAAUCGGAGAGGAAGAAUGGCUUCUUCGCCCCGCCCUCCGGCACGCAGCGACGUACUGGGUUCCCUCCCCCACUCCUUCCUUCAACCAAUCAGGGGACAGCUCCAAGGGAGCGCGCGAGGUUUCCUUCCCCGCGCACCCGUUCUCACCGUUAAACGGCCGCGUCCCGUGACAAUCCUAGUGACCUUUCCCUCUCUCCGGAGUUCCACGCGCACUAGGGGUAGUGGGAGGGACCGGUUUCGCGAAGAGGUUGGUGGGAAAAAAAGCACCUCUUACCCCGCCUGGCGCGCUCCCUGGAGUGGCUGCGCGCGCACCUGCCUCCCUAAGGAUCCGCUAAUGCCACAAGGGCUCUUUCUGUCCUUCCUUAAAGCCGCUUCUUCUACCCCGGCGUUCUUCUACCUCCACCCAGAUCCCACUUUCCUGUAUGUGGCCUUUCUCUCCCCAGCGUUGCCAAUUCCUGAGGGAGAAGAGGGAAAUUUUUUUGAGCUGUCGCUUCUCCUUUAAGAAAAAAAGCCCCGUCGCUGCCGGAUGAAAGUCUCUGAAAAAAUGGCGGCGGUAGAACAGAGGCGGGGUCGGGAGGGCCUGGAGGAGCCGCCUCUUCGACGCAUGCGCAUAAUGGCUUCUCCGGCCAGCGUUCUUGUCGGCAAUAUUCGUCUCGUCAUCCUGUGUCUGACCCACCAACCUGUGAGCCCCUGGAGGUCAGGGACUGAAUCUGGUUCUGCCGGAUCCUCGGGCGCCUACCCAUCAGUUAUUUGAUUACUAAUAAAAGUUUGUGGAAAUCA